rnacentral:rRNA from 1 species
CAGCCGCCACGGUAAUACGUAGGGUGCGAGCGUUAAUCGGAAUUACUGGGCGUAAAGCGUGCGCAGGCGGUUCGUUAAGACAGAUGUGAAAUCCCCGGGCUUAACCUGGGAAUGGCAGUGGAUACUGGCUCGCUAGAGUGUGUCAGAGGAUGGUGGAAUUCCCGGUGUAGCGGUGAAAUGCGUAGAGAUCGGGAGGAACAUCAGUGGCGAAGGCGGCCAUCUGGGACAACACUGACGCUGAGGCACGAAAGCGUGGGGAGCAAACAGGAUUAGAUACCCCCGUAGUCCCUGUCUCUUAUAC